CUUGCCCCUCUUUGACCACCCCUUCCGCGGGCUUUAUGUGCUCCAUCCCAUCCUUGCUCUCAGCCUGUGUAGCUGGACAUAUGUUGCAAUCCCUGAGCAUAAUAAGCAACCUUACUUUCCUAAACCUUUUCUUAAUUCAAAACAACCUGCAUUUUCCUUUUCUAUAACCUUGGUAAGAAAAUCUGAGCUAUCCAAAUUGGCCCAGUCUGAAAUCAAUUGUUUCACAAGCAAAGAAUACUGUGGCAACAUAUU